CCAAUGACACCCAUAGUGGAA
rnacentral:miRNA from 1 species